AGUCCCCCUUGAACGUUACAAAAACCCAACACAAUGUUUAAUCAUCAGUUUGGAGGAGAUGAAGCAGCUCCUCCCAUCUGCUCCUGUGGUUGUGUGCAGGGUUUUGAGGUGGCCUCAAGUUAAAGCAAGUGAAGCCACUCCUCUCUGCAUCACAUCCUCCUUAAACACGAUGCCAGCACAUGGUCCAUGACUUACCACCAUCAUCAUCAUCAUCACUAUCUACUGUACAAGAUGAUUACGCUUCUCCUCUGCCAUUUGCUCACAGCAGGUUUGUCUGUGGGGAACCAGGUCAAUCAGUCUCCAUCUGCUGUCAUCAUCAACGCCGGUGAGGACGCCCAGCUGUCCUGCACGCACCAACUACCAGCCGACUACAGGGUGAUGCUGUGGUACCAGCAGGUACCCGGUCACUCAGCCCUGACGCUCGUGGGAUACGGAUAUGUCGAGUUCAAAGACGACGGCGUGGAGGAGGCCUUCAGGAAACAUUUCAAACUGGCUGGAGAUCUGCGAGGGGACAAAGCUAAGCAGGGUUCGCUCUCCAUAGCCGAUCUGCAACACGAGCACUCUGCAACGUACUUCUGUGCCGCUAGUCAGCCACAGUACAUCAAACGCCCAUCUGCUCCUUACAAAAACCUCCUCUCCUCUGAAAGCUGAGGCCUCAGUCAAUGCACAGUUGCUCCACGUCACACUUCACUGGUCUGUCUGAAUCCACUGCAUGACUUCCUCUCUCCUUCAAAUCCACAUACAGAAGAGACUCCAAGAACGCCAUGAGCUAUAGUGGUCUUUGUCUUUCCUGAUGUUACAGACUCCAUCUGAGGAGUAAUCGUCAUCCAGUGAUGUCACUUCCUCCCUGCUGUUA